AUCCGGAACGUCUUCCAGGAAUCCCGGGUCAGCGGCCCUCGCAGCACGUCCGCCUAGACCAUUGCCCGACCUACUCAGAAUUGGGCCCCCUGGAAUGCAGACAAACAAGGAGACACCAGACACUCACCAGUCAGUGUCGACCCUCCAGUACAGAGAUCCUGAGGGUCUUGGGGACCCUGGACGAGCCCCCAAAUGUUGUGUCCAGAUCGCGAAGUCCCAAAGACCCCCAGGAAGCCGUUUUCGAUGCACAGCCUGCUGCAUACCAGAGCCCGAGGAGACAGUGGGAAGGAAGUGGGCAAGACAGUUGGAGCACUGGAUGAGCUUGGCCACCAGAGGAAUGGAUUCCAGAUCUUCAGGUCUGUACAGAAACGCAGAGGUGCCCAGGUCCCUUGUGUGACAGGGAGACGAUUUCCACAGAACCUGCA
rnacentral:lncRNA from 1 species